UACGUAGGGGGCAAGCGUUGUCCGGAUUUAUUGGGCGUAAAGAGCGUGUAGGCGGCCAUGCAGGUCAGCUGUGAAAACUCGAGGCUCAACCUCGAGACGUCGGUUGAAACCGUAUGGCUAGAGUCCGGAAGAGGAGAGUGGAAUUCCCGGUGUAGCGGUGAAAUGCGCAGAUAUCGGGAAGAACACCUAUGGCGAAGGCAGCUCUCUGGGGACGGUACUGACGCUGAGACGCGAAAGCGUGGGGAGCAAACAGG
rnacentral:rRNA from 1 species